GCCUCUCACUGUCAUCAACUCUCGACUUUCGUCUCUCUCCGCUCUCCUUAAAAAGUGUGCGAGGCGACAAAACAAAAACAAUUCAGCAGAAUAAAUUAUUGUUUCGGUCGUUGUAAAUGUAAAUUUAUGAUUUUGUUCGGUAGUGCUAUAUAGCUGAAUUUUGCAGUGUUUAGUGUUUUUAAUUUUAACACCGAAGUAAACUUCCGAAGCGCCGAUCUUGCGGUAUCGAGAGCCAUAAGUCCAAAUAUGCUCCAACGUGUGCUGUACAUGGUGAUGAUGGGAGUGGAGCCGGAACAGAUGGAUUUGGUUCACGGGAAUUAUUUGAUCGCACCAGGAAUCGCAUGGCGGAAGAUGUUGAUAAAUGACGGAAACAGCACCUUUAAAUGGGUCAAAUCAGGUCGUCCGAUAGUGAUAGUUUUGAUACGGAAUAAAUUUGGUAUUACGUUUCAGACUGUAAAGCCACCUAAGUAAAAGUGAGCGCAGCGGAGUGCUUCGACAGAAAAUACAUCUAAUAAAUGUCAGAACACAUCACUGCGCUCAUCAUUUGUUGCACAGAACAGAAACGGCAGGAUUUUACCGUCGCCGUUCCGUCGUUUGAGAUGGAAAAUCCGGAAUAGUCGGGUCACGACGGAUAUUUUUUUUAGAUUCGAACUGUUUUUCUUUCAUUGUUACCCUUGCUGUUACCCCACAAUGUCGAAUUUAAUACUGUUUGUAUAUUUAUUGCUCAUAUAUUCAAUAAAUAAAUAAAAUUUUGAAAA